rnacentral:rRNA from 1 species
AGAGUGAACGCUGGCGGCAGGCCUAACACAUGCAAGUCGAACGGCAGCGCAGCCCCGCAAGGGGUGGGCGGCGAGUGGCGGACGGGUGAGGAAUACAUCGGAAUCUACCCUGUCGUGGGGGAUAACGUAGGGAAACUUACGCUAAUACCGCAUACGACCCACGGGUGAAAGCGGCGGACCGCAAGGCGUCGCGCGACUGGAUGAGCCGAUGUCCGAUUAGCUAGUUGGCGGGUAAAGCCCACAAGGCGACGAUCGGUAGCUGGUCUGAGAGGAUGAUCAGCCACACUGGAACUGAGACACGGUCCAGACUCCGUACGGGAGGCAGCAGUGGGGAAUAUUGGACAAUGGGCGCAAGCCUGAUCCGAGCCAUGCCGCGUGGUGUGAAGGAGGCCGUUUCGGUUAGUAAAGCGUACUUUGUACCGGUAAAGAAAAGCGACUUAGGUAACUACCCGUGGU